AUAUAAUUAGUUUAAGAAAAACAUUGGUUUGUGGAACCAAACAAACUAAAAUUAAU
rnacentral:tRNA from 1 species